rnacentral:rRNA from 1 species
AACGAACGCUGGCGGCAGGCCUAACACAUGCAAGUCGAACGCCCCGCAAGGGGAGUGGCAGACGGGUGAGUAACACGUGGGAACCUUCCCUAUAGUACGGAAUAGCCCAGGGAAACUUGGAGUAAUACCGUAUACGCCCGAGAGGGGAAAGAUUUAUCGCUAUAGGAUGGGCCCGCGUAGGAUUAGCUAGUUGGUGAGGUAAUGGCUCACCAAGGCGACGAUCCUUAGCUGGUCUGAGAGGACGACCAGCCACACUGGGACUGAGACACGGCCCAGACUCCUACGGGAGGCAGCAGUGGGGAAUAUUGGACAAUGGGCGCAAGCCUGAUCCAGCCAUGCCGCAUGAGUGAUGAAGGCCUUC